rnacentral:rRNA from 1 species
UACGUAGGGUGCGAGCGUUGUCCGGAAUUAUUGGGCGUAAAGAGCUUGUAGGCGGUUUGUUGCGUCUGCCGUGAAAAUCCGGGGCUCAACUCCGGACUUGCGGUGGGUACGGGCAGACUAGAGUGUGGUAGGGGAGACUGGAAUUCCUGGUGUAGCGGUGAAAUGCGCAGAUAUCAGGAGGAACACCGAUGGCGAAGGCAGGUCUCUGGGCCACUACUGACGCUGAGAAGCGAAAGCGUGGGGAGCGAACAGG